ensembl:lncRNA
GUCACGGAGAGGAAGAGGAAGCAGCGCUCGGUGGGGACCGGAGGAGAAACGGGGCCUAGCUGAGAGAGGGCGGCCCUUCGAGGCCCUUUCUUUCCAAACCGGAGAGACCGGGGUUUCUGAGAAGGAGACCAGAGAGCCAGGACAAAGGAGCCACUUAGAAUGUGAAUGAGAAAGUACUCACGUGACCAACGCCCGGAGCGGCUGGUGGAGCCCCCAGCAGUGCCAAGUUUGAGCCCAGCGUGGGCAACUGGGUCUUGCUAAAUAUAGUCCAGGCUCACCGUGGCUGCCUCACUGCUCACUGAAUGCUGGACUGCAGGCUUCACCACCACUCCCUGGUCUACACGAUUUUUAAUGUAUUGAUACAUUUAAUUCUCACCAUCAUCUUAUAUGGUGUGCCAUGGUGUUUCUGCUCUGCAUUGCCUGGUUGUCGUCCUUGCUUUGCAGUUGGCUGAUUAUGGUCUGAAACCUCUAUGAAUCGUAAGCCAAAUAAACCCCUUCCCCUUUGCCUUUGGAUGUCUGGUAUUUUGUUUCAGCAAUGAGAGCAAAGUAACUAACACAGACAUUUGGUACCAGAGAAGUGGGGUCGUUGCUGUGACAUUACUUGGCCAUGUGGCUCAAAAGCCUUUGGAACUGGCUUGUGGGAAGAAGAGUUAGGAAAGAUCCAGAGACAUUGACUACAGCAGCAGCUCUGGAACGUCUUAGGUUGUUCUGUAUGGGAGAUUCUGGUCAGAGCUCAGAAGACCAGAAAGCCAGUAGAGACCAGCUGUAGGAGGUUUUUUCUAGGAAGAAGGACUGCAUUGGCUGCUGGACUCCAGAAGAUGUUUGUUUUGACAUGACAGAAAGUUUUUCCGAAUUUUGCUCAUGUUCAGAGACUUUGCUGGAAGAUUCAGAGCUACCAGCUGAAAAAGUAGGGCUGAAACACCUUAGGCUGUUCUGUAUGGGAGAUUCUGGUCAGAGAUCAGAAGGCCAGAAAGCUUAUAAAGACCAGGCUGGGAAAGUUUCUGCUAGGAAGAAGGACUGCAUUGGCUGUUGGACUCCAGAUGAUAUAUGUUACGGCUUGGCAGAAAGUUUGUCUGCAUUUUGUUCAUGUCCAGAGACUUUGCCUGAGACUGAGAUUAAGGGUGGUGGUCUAAUUAAUCUUGCAGAAGAAAUUUCAAGGCAGUCGAAUAUUGAGGCAGUGGCAUGGCUGCUGUUGGGGGCUUUUAGCCAGGUCUAUGUGGAGAAUCAAGAGCAAAGAUUUAGUGCUUCCCCUGCCGGAUUUUGGACUUGCUUUGGUCCCUUUCCUUUGUGUCCUCCUGUCUGUACCUUCGGGAAUGGGAACGUCUACCUUGUGCCGUUGAACGUUGGAAGGGUUUGACUUCCUUUUCGGUUGCACAGCGGUUAAGAGCUUGGCUUAAAUCUCAGAGACUUUGGACUUGGGCUUUUCAGCAGUGCGGAAACGGUUAGGACUUGGCAGCCCUUAGGGACGGAGUGAAUGCCUUUGGUGUAAAGGAGCGUGCAUGAACCAAGACGCGUCGCGCACAGGUACACGACCCCAGUGAUGACGGUAACGGUGCUGCGUGCCUAAAAUGGACCCAUAAACUGAAUGGGAAAAAGAAUGUCAAUGACUUAGGUACAACUAGUAAAUGUCAGUUAAAGUGAUGACACUUGACAAUGUCUUUUAAUACCUUGUUGUUUUUUUAAUACUUGUGUGCUUUGGG